CCCCCCUCCUCUCACAUUUGUGCGCACGUUGGUGAUUCACUCCAUUUACUUUGCUCUCCCGGCCUCGCCCACCCGAGGCAGUCACCCACAAACGCACACACAGAUAGACAGUCUACAACUGAAUCGCCUCACGCCCUCACGAUAUACCCCCUCUCCCUCCUGCGGUGGACACUCUUCCCUGUGUUUUCUCCAUCGCGCCUCGUUCUCGAGGUGUAACGGACUCGUCUUCUCCAGGAGCACCUGUGGCGUUGGGACCGCCGGCAGCACGAUUCGGCUUGCGCGUUUUUUCCCCUUUUUUUUCUGCUGAGAAACAGAAAGAGAGGCUGACAUCCUUCCUUCCUCUCCUCCGUGUGCGUUCGUGUGUGUGUGUGUCGUUGGGCGUCUCUUCCCGUUCCUCGCCUCACCGGCUUCUUGUUUUGCGUGUGACGCGGGACAGAACCAGACGAGUGCGAGAGAGACACACACGGUCGCGACGAAUACAGCCACGCACUCGAAGACAGUGUGUUGGGACAGCAGAGAGAAGCGCGGAACAGAAGAGCGAAAAGGAAAGUGUCUCUCGCCACCAAGCGGAGCUCAUUACGCGUACACCGUUUUGAUACACACGCACAUACGCGGCAUAUCCCACCCAACGCCCAUCUCCGUGAACGAAAACGAGGAGCGGCGCUGACAGUGCAGCGUCUCAUCGUUUUCUUUGUUUUUUUUUUCAUCUCUCCGUUCCCCUCCCUCCCCCUCCGAGCACCACCGUGCGCUCUCUUUGUCUGCUAUACAGACUCGCUCUUGUCUUUGUCUUGCGCUCCCCUCGCUGGUUCUCUCUGUGAGCCGCCGCCGCCGCAGCAGCCCUGCCUCUCCGGCUCGGCCUACGUCUGCCUGUGCGUCUGUGUAGGUGUGAGGUGGUGCGCCAUCCAUCAUCUUUCUUUCCGCCACACCUCUCUCCCUUGUCCUUUAGUUGUGUGUGGUGUGUGCUCUCGCCUCUUCUCUCUUCGUCGAUUUCUCGUGUUCGUGCCCGUGCAUCUGCGAGUGGCAGGCAGCUCGUCUCUCUUUCUCUCCCACCCCACCGCACAUCUUCUGCACUUUCGCCUUGCUUUUCUCGCGUGCGUUGCGCAUGUGAAGUGCGCUAGUUUGUAAGAUUGUGUGUGUGCGCGCGCCUCGGCAGCAUCUCUUCCCACCAACUUCCUUCUGCGUUGGUGUUUUCUAGCGCUGUCUGCGUUCCUAUCUCGCUCUCUCUCGCUCUCGCUCUGUUCGCGUGCGCGCGUCACCGUGUCCGUGCGCCGUCGCUGUUUUUUUUUUUUUUCAGGGUGUUUCUGAUCUCCCCUUCCAUUUCUUUGCUUCUCCGCCUUACUUGUGUGCUCCCACUACGCCGUCCUUCUUCGAGAAGCUCACCACCAAGUUCAGCCCCAGUAACAAGAAAAAAGGAAACACCACCUCGUCAUCCAGUCACACCCGAGACAACAUGUCGCUCAACGCUGCCGAUGCCGCGGACGAACGAAGUCGCAAGGAGAUGGACCGGUUCCAGGUGGAGCGCAUGGCUGGGCAGGGUACAUUCGGCACAGUGCAACUAGGGAAGGAGAAGUCGACAGGCAUGAGCGUGGCGAUCAAAAAGGUUAUCCAAGACCCGCGCUUCCGCAACCGCGAGCUGCAGAUCAUGCAGGACCUCGCCGUGCUGCACCACCCCAACAUCGUCCAGCUCCAGAGCUACUUCUACACCCUGGGUGAGCGCGACCGCCGCGACAUCUACCUCAAUGUCGUGAUGGAGUACGUGCCGGAUACGCUGCACCGCUGCUGCCGCAACUACUACCGCCGUCAAGUGGCGCCACCGCCGAUCCUGAUCAAGGUCUUUCUUUUUCAGCUGAUCCGAAGUAUCGGGUGCUUGCACCUGCCCUCCGUAAACGUGUGCCACCGCGACAUCAAGCCACACAACGUGCUCGUUAACGAGGCGGACGGCACACUGAAGCUGUGCGAUUUUGGCAGUGCGAAGAAACUCUCGCCGUCGGAGCCGAACGUGGCAUACAUCUGCUCUCGUUACUACCGAGCCCCUGAGCUCAUCUUCGGUAACCAGCACUACACGACCUCGGUCGACAUCUGGUCGGUGGGGUGUAUCUUUGCUGAGAUGAUGCUUGGCGAGCCCAUCUUCCGCGGCGACAACAGCGCCGGCCAGCUGCACGAAAUUGUGCGCGUGCUCGGCUGCCCCUCGCGCGAGGUGCUGCGUAAGCUGAAUCCGUCGCACACGGACGUGGAUCUAUACAAUAGCAAGGGCAUCCCGUGGAGCAACGUUUUCUGUGAUCAUUCGCUGAAGGACGCCAAGGAGGCGUACGAUCUUCUUAGUGCGCUGCUGCAGUACUUGCCGGAGGAUCGCGUGAAGCCUUACGAAGCACUGUGCCAUCCGUACUUUGACGAGCUUCACGACUCCGCCACGAAGCUGCCGAAUAACAAGGAUCUCCCGGAAGACCUCUUCCGCUUCCUGCCGAGCGAGAUCGAGGUCAUGAGCGAAGCGCAGAAGGCCAAGCUGGUUCGCAAGUAGAGGGGAGGGGCGAAGCGAGGUGGAUGGAGGGAGCCGGUCGCACGGCUGUGCCAAAGACGCAGAAGAAGCGUGAUGACGGCAGAGCGCCCUUGCAGCGGGCCCGAAGAAACAAAGGAUGACAGAGGGGAAGCGUCAUGUCAGCGGUGCGGAGAGUGGCGCAGCGGCCAACAGAGCGGGAGAAGCCGGUAGACAAUGACUGAGACCGUUGUGGUGGUGAGGAGAGCAGCUGGAGCUUCCUCUUCAGCGCCUUUUUGUUAUUGUUGUUGUUGCGUGGGAUGCCUCUGCAUCCCUCGGCGGCUCCUCCGCCUCUACCCUGCUCGAUGACUCACAGAUGCGGCUGAGAGGCUCUUGCUUAUGAGUGCUGAUGCUGUAGCGAUGCGACACGCCCAAAGUAUCGCCUCCUCUGCUUGGUGUGUUUCGUUCAAACAUGCGCACAUACCCAUGCCCUCCUUUUUUUUUCCGUGAAGGGUGAAGUCUGUGUCUGUAUGAUUGUCGAGGCAGUUGCAGGUGACCUGUUUCCCUCUCUCUAUAUAGUUUUUCCUUUUUAUAUCUCGAUCGAGUGGCCGAGUGCGUGUGCGUGUGUGUGUGCUUGUGUGCGCUCACCGCUCUCCGUCUCUCUCUUCCUCUACCUCUUCCUUCCCCAUUCCUAAGAUGCCGAGGUGCACCUGCGCAUGCGCGCGGGUGUGUACACACGCCCUGUUCCCACAUCUCCGGCCGUCUAUUUCGGCGUCUCUCCUGUGAUGUGCGUGCCGGUUGAAUUUUCAGAAUGGCUUUCUUCUUCACCUGUAGCGUGGCAUGACUCUUGCGCACAUAGGCAAUGCACACGACUGCGCACGCGCCGUCUGUGUUCCCGGCGCAACGCGCUUCCCGUGCACGCGUGGGCUUCCGUUGUCUUUGUUCUCGUGCCCGGAUGAUUGCGAUGACGGACGAAAACCACGAAGGGGAAAACGCAGCGGCGAAAAGAAGGCCGUGAGUCAGGCGUUCCUGUGUGGCGUGGCGCUGUCCACGGAGAGCGGGGAGACGGAUGAGGUCUUAUGGGCGUGUGAGCACACGUGUGAGUGCGCCUCAUCAACGACCCUCUCUGCCUCUUCCUCGUGGCUUUUCAGUGGUGCGAUCGUCAUCGCUUCGAACCCUUUCACGAGGGGUCACGGACAGAGGACAUGCACACAGCCACACAGCCGCACAUCACAGCCCUCUCUCUCGAGUAGAAAAUACGAAGCACGUUGUAUGGCGGCUCUACUUUUCGGAUACACGAUAUAUAUAUAUUACAUGAAAGGCGAGCAGCUGUGAAAAGGGGCCAGCCCAGAACAAGAGACAAAAUCUUUUUUUUCUCUCAACGGCAGCACUGCGAAGUAUCGAAGCGAGAGCGAGAGAGGGGGAGAGGGAGAGAAAGUAGAGGGACAGAGCGCAACGCACGCAGAGGCGGUUGGAGGGGGGGGGGGGAAACCAAGUGACGACCACAUCAGCACGAAAUCUCCUUGUUGUGCCGACACGCUGAGGUCAACGGAAAGGAGGUCGCUGCAAGCUUCAUUCCGCGGCCGCGAUCUGCACUCCUUGUUUCUCCUCUCGCCCAUCUAGGACGUCGAUGGCAUGCAUGCAGUUGUGCAGGCACGGCAGCCGCUUCCUUCAUCUUCAAUGCUCUUUCUGUGCGUCUCUCGCUGGUCGUCGCCCACCGCGCACGGUUACAUGACGCCUGAUGAGCAGUCCUGCCCUUGCGCCCUCUGCGUACGCGCGCCUUUUCUUUUUUUUUUCCUUUUUUUUCGCUCUUAGGUACCGUUCUUUGCGCCUUUGCGUUUUUGCGCGUGCUGUGUUGCGCCGACCUCUCCACCCCCUCCGCCUCUCGCCACGUUCUACUUUGCCCUAUGGUUUGGUUUUCAUUUCUAGGAAUAGAUAGCUCUCCGUCUCUUUACUCGUUGUUCCGAAGAGGAACAGCAAAAAAAAGUAAAAAAAAGCAGGAUAAAAGCUGAUGAAGAAUUGAACUGGACGAACGCUCUCUCCGCCACAUUCUCCGCGUUCCUCUCUGCUCUUGUCCUCCCUCCCCCUCACGUUGCGUCACAUCCUCUCCGCUGAUCUUCCGUGCGUCAUGCACAUACAGACACCCGCAUCUCCGCGGAGCAGCGAAAGGAGGGAUAGCUCGCAGAGAGAGAUCGAGAGGGGGGGGUGGAGACGAGGAAGAGCCCAGAGAGCGCGUGAAUGCACUACUGUGGACAAGAGAUACAUAAUGAGAAGCGUGCGAGAAGGCGGGCGAGAGAGGAAAAAGAGGUGCGCGAAGCGAUGAACGCCAUUUUCGUUUUCGUUUCCCCGCUUGCACACGUCAGCGCGUGGCAUGUUAGCAUAAGCGGCUCUCUCUCUCCGUCUGUCUGUGUCUGUGUCGGAGUUAAUGUUUUCCUUCUUUCUCGUGUUUGUCGUUUUCUCGUUGCUUCCGUUGCUCAUUCUGUUUUGUGUGUGUGUUUCGUUGUCUCUUCAUGUGUUGCCAAUUUGGUGUCAUCGGCUCUCUCUCUGUCUCUCUCUCGUGGCUGUCUUUCUGAUGCGCAGGGGAUUUUUCUUCUGUACUGUUUCGGUGCGUCUUUCGUCCGUACGUUUCUUGUCGUUUUAUCUUUCUUUCUGUGCCUGUGUUUGCGCCGUUCUCUCAUGCCCUGUUCGGUCUUUUUUUUUUAUUUGCGUCGUGGCGUUGAUGGUCUCUCUCUACCGGGUCGUCUGCGCGGGGCGGAUGGCGCUGGUGCGGAAGCGUUCAUUCUUCCCAUGUGAGGGAUCGAACAUGUACGUUUGUGCGUGUAUGCGUCGCGGCUUGUUUGGUAGCGUUUUUAUAUUUUUGUGUUGUUUUUGGCGCGUGUAGACACGCGUACACGUCGGUUUCUUUCGAAAAAAAAAAAGAGACCCAAGCGACGAGGGGAAGGGAGAGCGCGCGAGGGAAGGGGGAAUGAGCGGCGAAAGCGAAAUGCUGGAGGUGCGCAGCCGACUUUUGGCUGCCCCCCCUCCCUCUCCCCCCAGUGUGUACUUACUGCCUCAUGCGACGAGGAGUGCGCUGCGGCUGAGCAAGCGUGCAUGCCCUUGGGCGGAAUAGGUGACAUUGCAGCUGCGCUGAGAGCCGAGGAAGGGAGGGGAUCGUGAGAUGUUGCCCAGAUUCUUGCUUCUCUCUCUGUGUCCUCCCUCUCUCCUGGUCUCUGCGCUCCCUGAUCUCGUGCGAAAAUGAUAAAAAUGUAUGUAGUUUUGUCUUUUUGUAUGUGUGUGUGCGUGCAUGCGUGCGUUGCGGCGCGUGUGUACGGUGCAUUAUUCGUUGUUUCUUUCUCUGUUCUUUCUUUUUUUUUGUGUUGAUGCUCCGUGUGUGUCGCAUGUGCGUUUUGGUUGUUCGCCUCCCCCCUCCCCGACAGCACCGGCUGAACGCGGUGCUCGCUCGCUGUUUCUCUCAUCUUCUUUUUUGUGUCUUUUGUGGGUUCAUGUGCACGUGUGGGCGUCUGUGUUGGCGAGCGUCUAUGUCCAACGGUGUCCGUACGGGGUGUGCGCGGGAUUUUUGUGCGCGAGAGUGCCUUUUUUUUUUUGACUUCCGUGCUUGUGCUUGUUGUGGUUGCUUGUUUUACUGUAGGAGUGUUGUGUGUGUGUGUGUGGUGUGGUGUCGCUCUGGUGUAUGUUUGCUCUAUGUCUCAUCUGAGGCUCGCUUCUUUUCUUUCGUCUUGUUCGGGUGUCGUUGUACUGUGAUGUAGGUGCCCCUGUAUGCGUGUGCGACUUUUCGUCCCCCUUUGGCUGUUGUUGGUGUUCUCCCUCGAUUUGUCACCUCAUCCCUUCCCACCGUCGUCACUGCCCACGUUGCUCAUGCAUCAUCUGCGCCAACACACCCACGACGGCACCAAACGUAAAGCCGAUUCCGCUCUUCAGUGGCUAUUUUUCUCCCUCCUUGGGUGUUUGUGCCACGCCCUCGCUUACUUGGCUAUCGCUCUCGCUCCUCCUAUCGGCACACACACACACACACACACAUACACACACGCACACGUAUAUAUACGCACAUGUAUGCACCGCCCCAUGAAG
rnacentral:misc_RNA from 1 species